UAAAGUGGGUCUUUUCAGGUAAUGUACGUCU
rnacentral:piRNA from 1 species